rnacentral:misc_RNA from 1 species
GAUGAAGAACGUAGCAAACUGCGAUACUUGGUGUGAAUUGCAGAAUCCCGUGAACCAUCGAGUCUUUGAACGCAAGUUGCGCCCGAAGCCAUUCGGCCGAGGGCACGUCUGCCUGGGUGUCACGCAUCGUUGCCCCCCCAAACUCCGGUUCGGGCGGGGCGGAAGUUGGCCUCCCGUGCGUGCCUGCGCGCGCGGUUAGCCCAAAAGCGAGUCCUCGGCGAUGAGCGCCACGACAAUCGGUGGUUUUUUUACCCUCGUUCCUCGUCGUGCGUGCCCCGUCGCCCGAACGCGCUCUUGCAACCCUUACGCGUCGCCUCGGUGGCGCUCCCAACGCGACCCCAGGUCAGGCGGGACUACCCGCUGAGUUUAAGCAUAUCAAUAAGCGGAGGA